ACUGGUGAUAGAUAUGUAUAGUAUUUUAGAUUGACGCAUGCUCAGCUGACUGGGGACUAUGAGUAUGGAAAACCAUUUUGCAGAAUUAGGAAUGUGCAGCUGAAAGUGGUCAAAGAUCAAAGGCCAAGAC